GGGCAUCGUAGAAGCUUGCUAAGAGAUUCUUCAAACCUUAUCAAGUCAAACGCCAUAUUUGAGUUGUAGUAUACGAGCUAGCCUUGCUAGAAGGAUCCCAAAUACAUCCAAUUUUUCAUGUUUAUAAUCUCUGACCUUUUUAGCGUAAACCCCCUUACAAAAAAAAUAAGAAUAAAACAGAAGCAUGAUGAUUUUGAACACCACGACUAGGCAUGGGAAACAAGUAGGGGAGGACAAAAGGAAUCAUUCAACAAAAAAAGGGGGAAGAAGAUGUGAGGACUUUAGAGGCCAUUGAAAAAAUAUCUCACACUUUACAUCUACAAAUACAGAAGCAAGGUUGAAAACUAAUU
rnacentral:lncRNA from 1 species